UACGAGUGCCCCAAGCGUUAUCCGGAAUUAUUGGGCGUAAAGGGUGUGUAGGUGGCGAUGUUAGUCUUCUGUCAAAUUCUUCGGCUUAACCGGGGUCUGCAGGGGAAACGGCAUUGCUCGAGUGUGCAAGGGGUGAAUGGAACUCUAGGAGUAGGGGUGAAAUCCGUUGAUAUCUAGGGGAACACCAAAAGCGAAGGCAAUUCACUGGUGCAUUACUGACACUGAAACACGAAAGCGUGGUGAGCGAACGGG
rnacentral:rRNA from 1 species